GACGAACGCUGGCGGCGUGCUUAACACAUGCAAGUCGAACGGAAAGGCCCCUUUGGGGGUACUCGAGUGGCGAACGGGUGAGUAACACGUGAGUAACCUGCCCUUGCCUUCGGGAUAACUUCAGGAAACUGGGGCUAAUACCGGAUAGGAAUCCUUGCUGCAUGGUGGGGGUUGGAAAGCUUCGGCGGUUUUGGAUGGACUCGCGGCUUAUCAGCUUGUUGGUGGGGUAGUGGCUUACCAAGGCUUUGACGGGUAGCCGGCCUGAGAGGGCGACCAGCCACAUUGGGGCUGAGAUACGGCCCAGACUCCUACGGGAGGCAGCAGUGGGGAAUAUUGCACAAUGGGCGGAAGCCUGAUGCAGCAACGCCGCGUGCGGGAUGACGGCCUUCGGGUUGUAAACCGCUUUCAGCAGGGGCGAAGCUUGUGGUGACGGUACCUGCAGAAGAAGCACCGGCUAACUACGUG
rnacentral:rRNA from 1 species